rnacentral:rRNA from 1 species
UACAGAGGGGGCAAGCGUUGUUCGGAAUUACUGGGCGUAAAGGGCGCGUAGGCGGCCUUCUAAGUCGAACGUGAAAUCCCCGGGCUCAACCCGGGAACUGCGUCCGAUACUGGAAGGCUUGAAUUCGGGAGAGGGAUGCGGAAUUCCAGGUGUAGCGGUGAAAUGCGUAGAUAUCUGGAGGAACACCGGUGGCGAAGGCGGCGUCCUGGACCGGCAUUGACGCUGAGGCGCGAAAGCCAGGGGAGCAAACGGG